CUGGCCCUGAAUCAAGGACGGCAGCUUCCUGAUGCUGUUGGUUUUAAGCAGGAGCCUAAACAUAACUUGGGCAGUGAAAUGAUCAAUUCAUUAGAAAGAAACAGCU
rnacentral:snoRNA from 1 species